ensembl:rRNA 5S_rRNA 5S ribosomal RNA
GUCUGCAGCCACACCACCCUGAACAUGCCGAAUCCCGUCUGAUCUCUGAGGGUAAGCAGGGUUGAGCCUGGCUAGUACGCUGAAGGAAGCAGCCUGGGGAGGUGGAGACA